ACGUCAAAAGGUUGGGGAGCAAAAGAGAUGGAGAAAGAGUGGCUAACAAGGUAGGAGAAAAACCAGGAAAGUGUGGUUGUUCUCCAAGCCAAGUCAAGAAAGUGUUUUAAGGAGGAGGGAGAGACCAGCUGGGUCCAAUGCUGCAGACAGGAUGAGAAAGACGAGGGCGGCCACAGGCUUUAGCAAUGUGGAAGUCACUGGUGACUCCCGCGUAAAUAGCUUCUGUAGAUUGAGGGGGCAAGUCUUACUGAAGACAAGGAAGGGGGAGAGCAUGGACAGUUCCUCCAGCAGGAAGGCAG